rnacentral:rRNA from 1 species
UCCGUAGGUGAACCUGCGGAAGGAUCAUUAAAAAAAGAGAAACGUCCCGUUUUUUUCAUAAGAAUGGGUUCUAUUCCCUUAAACCGUGUCUACAUACCUUUGUUGCUUUGGCAGGCCGCCUUCGGGCGUCGGCUCCGGCUGAUAGUGCCUGCCAGAGGACCCAAACUCUAUGUUUAGUGAUGUCUGAGUACUAUAUAAUAUUUAAAACUUUCAACAACGGAUCUCUUGGUUCUGGCAUCGAUGAAGAACGCAGCGAAAUGCGAUAAGUAAUGUGAAUUGCAGAAUUCAGUGAAUCAUCGAAUCUUUGAACGCACAUUGCGCCCCUUGGUAUUCCGAGGGGCAUGCCUGUUCGAGCGUCAUUAUAACCACUCAAGCCUGGCUUGGUAUUGGGGCUUUCGCGUGUUCGCGGCCCUUAAAAUCAGUGGCGGUGCCGUCUGGCUCUAAGCGUAGUAAUUUCUCUCGCUAUAGGGUUCCGGUGGUUACUUGCCAAAACCCCCCAUUUUUUCUAGGUUGACCUCGGAUCAGGUAGGGAUACCCGCUGAACUUAA